rnacentral:rRNA from 1 species
UACGAAGGGGGCUAGCGUUGCUCGGAAUCACUGGGCGUAAAGCGCACGUAGGCGGAUCUUUAAGUCAGGGGUGAAAUCCUGGAGCUCAACUCCAGAACUGCCUUUGAUACUGGGGGUCUCGAGUCCGGAAGAGGUGAGUGGAACUCCGAGUGUAGAGGUGAAAUUCGUAGAUAUUCGGAAGAACACCAGUGGCGAAGGCGGCUCACUGGUCCGGUACUGACGCUGAGGUGCGAAAGCGUGGGGAGCAAACAGG